rnacentral:rRNA from 1 species
UACAGAGGGUGCAAGCGUUGUUCGGAAUUAGGGCGUAAAGCGAGUGUAGGCGGCUUAUUAAGUCAGAUGUGAAAUCCCUUGGCUCAACUGAGGAACUGCAUCUGAUACUGGUAAGCUUGAGUGUCGGAGGGGAUGGUAGAAUUCCUGGUGUAGAGGUGAAAUUCGUAGAUAUCAGGAGGAAUACCUGUGGCGAAGGCGACCAUCUGGAAGACAACUGACGCUGAGACUCGAAAGCGUGGGUAGCAAACAGG